GAAGGUGUACCGUAAGGAGCGCUGGAGCGUAUACAAGUGAGAAUGCCGGUAUGAGUAACGAAAAGAUCAGUGAGAAUCUGAUCCGCCGAAAGCCCAAGGUUUCCUGAGGAAGGCUCGUCCGCUCAGGGUAAGUCGGGACCUAAGGCGAGGCCGAAAGGCGUAGUCGAAGGACAACAGGUUGAAAUUCCUGUACCACCAUAAACCGUUAUGAACGAUGGGGGGACGCAGGAGGGUAGUGACGCGGACUGAUGGAUGUCCGUCCAAGCAGUGAGGCUGAUGUGUAGGCAAAUCCGCACAUCGUUAAGGCUGGGCUGUGAUGGGGAGUGAAAAUUACAGUAGCGAAGGUCAUGAUCUCACACUGCCAAGAAAAGCCUCUAGUCAGGUGAAGGUGCCCGUACCGCAAACCGACACAGGUAGGCGAGAAGAGAAUUCUAAGGCGCGCGGAAGAACUCUCGUUAAGGAACUCGGCAAAAUGACCCCGUAACUUCGGGAGAAGGGGUGCCUCGGUAGGGUGAAUAGCCCGAGGGGGCCGCAGUGAAAAGGCCCAAGCGACUGUUUAGCAAAAACACAGGUCUGUGCGAAGCCGUAAGGCGAAGUAUACGGG
rnacentral:rRNA from 1 species